GAUGAACGCUGGCGGCGUGCCUAAUACAUGCAAGUCGAGCGAUCAGACGAGGAUCUUGCUCUUCUGUAGUUAGCGACGGACGGGUGAGUCACACGUGGAUAACCUAUCUCUCAGACUGAGAUAACUUCGGGAAACCGGAGCUCCUACCGGAUAAUAUAUUCAACCGCUUGGUUUUGUAGUGAAAGAUGGUUUUGCUGUGACCUAUAGAUGGAUCUGCGCCGCAUUAGCUAGUUGGUAGGGUAACGACUUACCAAGGAAACGAAGCGUAGCCGACGGGGGCGGGGGGUAGGCCACAUGGGAGCGUGGACGGCGACCAGAGGACUACGGGAGGCAGCAGUAGGGAACCUUAGGCAGUGGUGGAAAGCCUGACGCAGCAAGGCCGCGUGAGAUAUGAAGGUCUUGGGAGCGUAAUACUGUGUUAUGGGUUAUGAACAAAUGUGUAUAGGACAGUGCACAUCGUGACGGUACCUGAACAGAAAGCCACGGCUAACUACGUG
rnacentral:rRNA from 1 species